rnacentral:rRNA from 1 species
AACGAACGCUGGCGGCGCGCUUAACACAUGCAAGUCGAACGAGAAGGCGUAGCAAUACGCUUGUACAGUGGCGAACGGGUGAGUAAUACGUGGGCGACCUACCCUCGAGUGGGGAAUAACCCGCCGAAAGGCGGGCUAAUGCCGCGUACGCUUCCAUCUUUAUGGAGGUGGAAGGAAAGCCGUGCCGUGGGCACGGCGCUCAAGGAUGGGCUCACGUCCUAUCAGCUUGUUGGUAGGGAACGGCCUACCAAGGCUCCGACGGGUGGCUGGUCUGAGAGGACGAUCAGCCACACUGGCACUGCGACACGGGCCAGACUCCUACGGGAGGCAGCAGUGAGGAAUAUUGCGCAAUGGGCAAAGCCUGACGCAGCGACGCCGCGUGGGGGAUGAAGGUCUUCGGAUUUGUAAACCCCGUUUCGGGAGGGAAGAUGGGACGGGCAACCGUUCGGACGGUACCUCCAGAAGCAGCCACGGCUAACUUCGUGCCAGCAG